rnacentral:rRNA from 1 species
AUGAACUCUGGCGGCGUGCCUAAUACAUGCAAGUCGAGCGAACGGACGAGAAGCUUGCUUCUCUGAUGUUAGCGGCGGACGGGUGAGUAACACGUGGAUAACCUACCUAUAAGACUGGGAUAACUUCGGGAAACCGGAGCUAAUACCGGAUAAUAUUUUGAACCGCAUGGUUCAAAAGUGAAAGACGGUCUUGCUGUCACUUAUAGAUGGAUCCGCGCUGCAUUAGCUAGUUGGUAAGGUAACGGCUUACCAAGGCAACGAUGCAUAGCCGACCUGAGAGGGUGAUCGGCCACACUGGAACUGAGACACGGUCCAGACUACUACGGGAGGCAGCAGUAGGGAAUCUUCCGCAAUGGGCGAAAGCCUGACGGAGCAACGCCGCGUGAGUGAUGAAGGUCUUCGGAUCGUAAAACUCUGUUAUUAGGGAAGAACAUAUGUGUAAGUAACUGUGCACAUCUUGACGGUACCUAAUCAGAAAGCCACGGCUAACUACGUG